GCACUCGUAGCUCAGCUGGAUAGAGUACCUGACUACGAAUCAGGUGGUCGGUGGUUCGAAUCCUCCCGAGUGCGCCA
rnacentral:tRNA from 1 species